CCCAUGGAAAAGUGGAGGGUUACUUUUAUGAAGGAAGAUGAAUGCAGAGCAUAGUUCGAUUACAAUACAAACUUGAGUUUGCCAUUGCAGAGGGAGAUCAAAGGGAAUAUCUAUCAAGGUUAAUAUUUUUCUUCUUGCAUGUUUCAUUUUCUAUUUUUCUAUUUCUAACCUGGUAUAUUCUAUUGUUCGUCACUGUUAUAGCAAAAUAAUCAAAUAGAUUCUCAUGUGGCCAGUGACAUGCAUGCUGCAUUGAACUUGGAUGAUGGAUUAUUGGAUAUGAUUUUGUUGAAACGGCUAUCACUUAGAGUCAGAGUAUCCCAAAACAGAAUUAUAUACGGCUAUCCCUAUUGAUCUCGACAAUAGUUAUAUGAUAAUUAGCAUUUAACACUAUAAGUUAUAUUCUUUGGGGCCAUUGACAGGUCUGAUGUAGGAAUCCAUGGAGGAGGAUAAAUCUGAAUGACUGAACCACCCAACAGAUGUAUGCAGCAUCAUAAACAAUCUAAGAAGAGACAAUUAUUGAAUCUGGUAUGAGAUUGAGGAUCACCUAGGAUCUGACCUCUAUCAAGAGCAAUGUUAGCCAUUCACCCCUUGGCAAGCUCUGUUAAGGCAUGACUUCUCUAUCUUGGUAGUAAACACUCUCAAAUCCUCUCUAAAUAAUGCCGAAGGAUGCUGCAGAACAUCUCCCUAGCUUACUAGAAGGAGCGGCAAGUAUAACUCCAACUCUAAGCCGGAACUUCCCUCCAUUUGGCUUAAUUCUGAUGGACCGUUGGGUAAUACACUUCAUUUUCUGAUUAUUCGAUGUAUUCAGAAUAGUUAAUAAGUUCCAGAUUAAUAUACUCCUUCCGUUUCAUAAUGAUAUUCCUGUUUACGUAAAUCGAUGCAAAUUUUUACCUAUCUUUGACUGCAAAUAUCUUUAGUAUCACAUCUAUGAAGCAACAAAGAGAUUUGAAGAAUGGAA